rnacentral:rRNA from 1 species
AAGAGUUUGAUCCUGGCUCAGAUUGAACGCUAGCAGUAUGCAUAACACAUGCAAGUUAAACAGUUUAUUAUUAAUAAAUAGUAGCAAACGGGUGAGUAAAAUAUCAUAUCAUACCUAUCAGAAACAAAAUAAUAUAGUGAAAACUAUAGUAAUACGUUAUAAAUUUAUUUAAUAUAAAAUAAAAAAAAAAGAUGGAAUAUUCCAUCUUUUGCUUUUAGAUUGAUAGAUAUCAGAUUAGCUUGUUGGUAGUAAAAGACUACCAAGGCAUAUAUCUGUAGCUGUUCUGAAAGGAUGCACAGCCACAUUGGGACUGAGACAAGGCCCAAACUUCUACGGAAGGCAGCAGUGAGGAAUAUUGGACAAUGAACGAAAGUUUGAUCCAGCAAUACUGCGUGUGUGAUGAAGGUUUAAAAUAAUUGUAAAACACUUUUAUCCAAAAUUAAAAGAAUGAAUAUUGGAUGAAUAAGCACCGGCUAAAUACGUGCCAGCAGCCGCGGUAAUACGUAUGGUGCAAGCGUUAAUCAGUUUUAUUGGGCGUAAAGGGUGUGUAGGCGGAUAAUUGUGAAAAAAAAUAAAAAAUAAAGCUCAACUUUAUUAAAUUUUUUUUAACUAAUUAUCUAGAGUUUAAAAGAGGAGAGUAGAAUUUUACAAGUAGUAGUGAAAUACGUAAAUAUGUAAAGGAAUACCAAUGGCGAAGGCAACUCUCUGGGUUAAUACUGACGCUGAAACACUAAAGCGUGGGGAGCAAACAGGAUUAGAUACCCUGGUAGUCCACGCCCUAAACGAUGUCAACUAGUUGUCAGAAUAAUUUGGUAACGUAGCUAACGCGUUAAGUUGACCGCCUGGGAAUUACGAUCGCAAGAUUAAAACUCAAAGGAAUUGACGGGGACCCGCACAAGUGGUGGAUGAUGUGGAUUAAUUCGAUGCUACGCGAAAAACCUUACCUACUCUUGACAUGUAUGGAAAUAAUUCGAAAGAAUGAAAUUAAACAUAACACAGGUGCUGCAUGGCUGUCGUCAGCUCGUGUCGUGAGAUGUUGGGUUAAGUCCUAUAACGAGCGCAACCCUUGUUUUAUGUUACUAUUUUUUUAAAAAAAGUACUCAUAAAAUACUGCUGAUUAAAAUCAGAGGAAGGAAAGGAUGACGUCAAGUCCUCAUGGCCUUGAUGAGUAGGGCUUCACACGUCAUACAAUGGUUAAUACAAUAUGAUACAAUUUUGUAAAAAUGAGUAAAUCAUUAAAAUUAAUCUCAGUUCGGAUUGCACCCUGAAACUCGGGUACAUGAAGUAGGAAUCACUAGUAAUCGCAGAUUAGAAUGCUGCGGUGAAUACGUUCUCGGGUCUUGUACACACCGCCCGUCACACCAUGGAAGUAAAGGUUAUUGGAAAUAAUUAAAAUUAUCAAUAUAAAAUUUAUAACUGGGGUGAAGUCGUAACAAGGUAGCCGUAUCGGAAGGUGCGGCUGGAUU